rnacentral:rRNA from 1 species
AGAGUUUGAUCCUGGCUCAGAACGAACGCUGGCGGCGUGGAUAAGACAUGCAAGUCGAGCGAGAUUUUUCGUUGUAGCAAUACGAUGGAAAGUCUAGCGGCGAACGGGUGCUUAACACGUGGGCAACCUGCCAUGAAGUGGGGGAUAGCUCGCCGAAAGGCGAAUUAAUACCGCAUGUGAUUAGAGAGGACAUCCUUUCGAAAUUAAAGUCGGGGCAACCUGACGCUUCUUGUGGGGCCCGCGGCCUAUCAGCUAGUUGGUGAGGUAACGGCUCACCAAGGCGUUGACGGGUAGCUGGUCUGAGAGGACGACCAGCCACACUGGGACUGAGACACGGCCCAGACACCUACGGGUGGCAGCAGUCGAGAAUUUUUGACAAUGGGGGAAACCCUGAUCGAGCGACGCCGCGUGGAGGAUGAAGGUCUUCGGAUUGUAAACUCCUGUCAUUUGGGAACAAGGUGUGCGCGUUAACUGCGCGCGCAUUGAUAGUACCAGAAGAGGAAGAGACGGCUAACUCUGUGCCAGCAGCCGCGGUAAU